GGAGUUAGCCGGUGCUUCUUCUGUGAGUGAUGUCCUUCCUGCCGGCUAUUAACCCGCAGGCCUUCUUCCUCACUGAAAGUGCUUUACAACCCGAAGGCCUUCUUCACACACGCGGCAUGGCUGGAUCAGGGUUGCCCCCAUUGUCCAAUAUUCCCCACUGCUGCCUCCCGUAGGAGUCUGGGCCGUGUCUCAGUCCCAGUGUGGCUGAUCAUCCUCUCAGACCAGCUACGGAUCGUCGCCUUGGUGAGCCGUUACCUCACCAACCAGCUAAUCCGACAUAGGCUCAUCCGAUAGCGCGAGGCCCGAAGGUCCCCCGCUUUCCCCCGUAGGGCGUAUGCGGUAUUAGCCUGGGUUUCCCCCAGGUUAUCCCCCGACUACCGGGCAGAUUCCUAUGCAUUACUCACCCGUCCGCCGCUCGCCACCAGGGAGCAAGCUCCCCGUGCUGCCGCUCGACUUGCAUGUGUUAGGCCUGCCGCCAGCGUUCAAUCUGAGCCAGGAUCAAACUCUGA
rnacentral:rRNA from 1 species